GCGGGGCCGAGGGCAAAGGGCCCAGGAGUGGAUUCUGACAAGGCGGGAAAAUGGAAAGGCCUGGCCGGUCCCAGGGGGCCCUAGGAGAGUACCUGGCUGGGCUGGGGUGGCCGCCAGUUUCCCGGGCUGCAGUGACAGUGUGCGCUUCCCGAGGUGCUGCUCUCUCACAGAGCCGCCCCUCCCCCGAAUGGCUUGGAAAGCACAUCCCUAGCUCCUCCCCACAUCCUAAAUUUUUAUUUUGCGUCUAGCUUAUUUGCUAAAUUGUCCACACCAGGCUCCAGCUUGUCAUCUUCCUGCCUCAGCCUCCCAGACUACUAAGCUAACAGACGCGAGCUACCAUGCUAGACUGCUUCAUUGAAAUUUUGUAGAAAUUGCCGGGGAUUUAGCUCAGUGGUUUCGCCGCCUGCUGCGCAAGCUCAAGGACCCGAAGAAAAAUGGACGUCAGAAUCAGUCAAACAGAAACAAUGAAGGAGGGGCUGCGUAGUGACUCAACCCGGUUACUCCCAUCACCAGAGAUGGAGGCAGGAGAAUCACUGCAAAUUUGGACCGCCUAGAAUACAUUGAGAGACCCUGUCUUGAAAAUAAAACCAAAACCAGGAAUGCUUGAGCCUUUCAUUCCACAGAUGAAAACCCAGCACUUUUACGACAUCUGUGAUUCCAUUUGUUUUUCCUUCCACUGUCCCAGAGGCCUCGCAGCUGCAUUCAGAGGAAGAGGUCACAAGGCUGAUGUGCAGUGCUUUUCAGCUAAGCAGGAGUUGCUCCAGACCCUCCCUCAGAGUGAUCGCUGUUGCCUCCUUCUGUGGACAAAUGGAAAGUUCCUGGAGGAUGAGUGUAGAAGACAGGGAAGAACAGAGGAAGGAAGGAAGGAAGGUUGAAAGUGGCUUCCAAGGGGCCCUAGCCUCCUUCGGCAUCGGCCUUGUUUUCUCUCUGUUUUGGUCACUGCCAUGGUGGCCACUAACAUCUAGGUCUUCAUCUUCUUACAGGUAGAUUCAAGACUUGUCUCCAGAUGGCCUUUCCACACUGUCUCCUUGGAGGUACAGGCUGACUUCUUACACACUUUCCCCAGGCUCUCAAGAGGAUUAGGCUUGAAACUAGCACACUGUCACUUCUUCCAGUUCUGUCAGAUGACACACACUGCCAGGUGUAUGCUGCACGCACCCAGCACUAGGGAGGGUGAGUCAAGAGGAUUGCUAUGAGUUUGGGGCCAGCCUGGGCUACAUAGUAUGUUCAAGGCCAAAACAAAACAUUAUAGGCCCAUCCUUGAAUCAAGGGGAGGGAAUUAUCUAAGGUUAUAAAUACUAAGAGAUGGAAUAAAUCUGGGCUGUAACCAACUACCAGGAAUUGUCAGACAGGGCAAAUAAUGAAAACCCUACUACAUGCUGUUUAGAAGGGACAUACUCAAAAUAUAAAAAUGUAGAAACUUUGAAAAUAAAAGGAUGGGAAAAACCUAACCCAUUUAAUACUACCAAAAACAAGGCUGGCAUCACUAUAUUAAUAUCAGAUUAAGUAGACUCUAAGAAAAAAAAAAACACUACUGAAGGUAAGG
rnacentral:lncRNA from 1 species